CACUCCUGCGGGAGGCAGCAGUGGGGAAUAUUGCACAAUGGGCGCAAGCCUGAUGCAGCGACGCCGCGUGGGGGAUGAAGGCCUUCGGGUUGUAAACUCCUUUCGCUAGGGACGAAGCUUUUUUGUGACGGUACCUAGAUAAGAAGCACCGGCUAACUACGUGCCAGCAGCCGCGGUAAUACGUAGGGUGCGAGCGUUGUCCGGAAUUACUGGGCGUAAAGGGCUCGUAGGUGGUUUGUCGCGUCGUCUGUGAAAUUCUGGGGCUUAACUCCGGGCGUGCAGGCGAUACGGGCAUAACUUGAGUGCUGUAGGGGUAACUGGAAUUCCUGGUGUAGCGGUGAAAUGCGCAGAUAUCAGGAGGAACACCGAUGGCGAAGGCAGGUUACUGGGCAGUUACUGACGCUGAGGAGCGAAAGCAUGGGUAGCGAACAGGAUUAGAAACCCCAGUAGUCCC
rnacentral:rRNA from 1 species